rnacentral:lncRNA from 1 species
AACAACCUGUGCUACGGUUCUUACUCGAGCUAUCUUCACGGAAGGUUGUAAAUCGGUUGCUGCUGGAAUGAAUGCAAUGGACCUAAGGCGUGGAAUCAAAUUGGCUGUUGAUACUGUCGUCACGAACUUGAAGAGCCGAGCACGCAUGAUUAGCACUUCUGAGGAAAUCGCUCAAGUUGGGACAAUAUCAGCUAAUGGAGAUAGAGAAAUUGGUGAACUGAUUGCAAAGGCUAUGGAAAGUGUUGGCAAAGAGGGAGUGAUCACAAUUCAGGUGAGCUAAUUUUUGAUUCUUAAAUGUUUUUAAAACUAGUUUGCUUAUUUCUUAUUGUGACUGACUUAUGCUAUCAUCUCUUGAUACAGGAUGGAAAGACCUUGUUUAACGAGCUUGAGGUUGUUGAGGGUAUGAAGAUCGACAGGGGGUACAUUUCCCCGUACUUUAUUACAAACCAGAAGAACCAAAAAUGUGUAAGAAUCCCGAUCUUACCCUGUUGCUUUAUCAAUAUAAAUGAACUUCGGAAUUGAUUUGUUGUGCAUGGAUAUGUCUUGCAGGAACUUGAAGAUCCUCUCAUUCUCAUCCACGAGAAGAAAAUCUCUAAUUUAAAUUCUAUUGUGAAGGUCUUAGAACUGGCUCUCAAGGUAUAAACGAUUUGGUCAUUUCUUGAAUGUUAAUUACAUUUGCUGAUAUACUCAUUAAAGUUAGUUUUGUAUCUAAAGAUCUAUAUCUAUUUUCUCUUCCUUUGUUUUUAGAAGCAAAGGCCAUUGCUGAUUGUUGCGGAGGAUUUGGAUAGCGAGGCUCUUGCCGUGCUAAUUCUAAACAAACUUCGUGCUGGAAUCAAGGCAGCUAGGGUUCCGGUUUCGAUCCUCUGGGUUGAUGACAACAUCGUCUCUCAGGUCAAAACCGUUGAGAAAGAAUCAACAUCUUCAACAUCUUCUGGUAAAUGACAAUUCUCAUAAAUAGACAAUUUUCAAGUUUUGGUCACAAAAGUAGACCACAAGGAAGAAAGUGACCAAAAUGUUUUAUUUAAUAGGUAAAAAAAUCCUUAUACCCUAAAAAAAAAAAUUAUAGUUUUAGAUUAUACGCUUUCAAAUUCGAAUUUUUUUAUAAAUUUUUUUUUUCGAUUUUUUUUUUAAUUGUUGUUUCAAACUUUCAUUUUUUAAUUCGAAAAUACUUUUUGAUUUUUUAAUAUACUUUAGUACUGGGCCUCAAAAGCCGCCUCAAAAGGCCCACAAAAAUUCGAGCCGGAUCCAAAUCGGAUGCUAAAGCUCUCGUGUCAAUGAGCUUGGAGAAAACGCAAAACCCUAAACCCUAGUCUACUUCUAGAAUCUUCGCUCUACUUAAUUUCUCCUCCUUUCUGCGAGUUGCGAAUUGUCAAUUUAGCUCCUUUCCGAUCUGUUCUGAAGCCACUGUAAUCCUCUCUGAUUGAUUGACAAUCUAUCACCAUGUAUAGGCUCGUCUCCAGCGUUGCUUCGAAAGCUAGGUCAGAUCUAUUCGCCUCAUUGAAUUCGAUUUAAAUGCUGUUUAUUUUUUGAAUUUUGUUUCCUGUUCGUUUCUCGGAGAUCCGAUCAUUGCGAGUUUAGUUCUGAUUUUCCGAUUUUCGAUCAAAUUGUUACCAGAACUCGCAUUAAAUUGAAUUUAUUAAAGUUAGUUUCAUUUUAUUGAUAUGGUUUAUUUAUCUUCCUUUCAUUUAACAGAGUCGCCAGAAACUGUACAACUCAGGUUCGUAUUCUUCGUUCCGUAUCUAGUUAUGCUGUUCUAGCUAGUCGUGGGUUUGUAUGUAUUGAUGUGUGUUCUGUGUGAUGUUAGAUUGGAAGCAGACUCAGUGCCACUAGGAACUAUGCAGCAAAAGACAUAAAGUUCGGUGUUGAAGGUCGUGCUUUGAUGCUUAGAGGUGUCGAGGAGCUUGCUGAUGCUGUUCAAGUCACUAUGGGACCCAAGGUAUACACUUUUUUUUUACUUGUUUUAGAUCUAAAUUCAAUAUAACACCCUUGUGUAUCGUGAAUUGUCUGUUUUUGAUUACCCCUCGAUGGUGUUUAAUAUAAAAGUUUUAUCCUUUAAGGGUCGUAAUGUCAUCAUCGAACAAAGCUGGGGUGCGCCAAAGGUGACCAAGGAUGGUGUUACUGUCGCCAAGAGCAUUGAGUUCAAGGACAGAGUCAAGAACGUUGGUGCUAGUCUUGUCAAACAGGUUGCUAACGCCACAAAUGAUGUAGCUGGUGAUGGUAAGUGUGAACUAUUCAUUGUAUUUGAAAAUACGUUUUUUUUUUUGUUAGUCUCAUAUUAUAAGUCUCAUAUUAAUUGUUGUUUUUUGUAUUCCGAAAAAAAAAACAGGAACAACCUGUGCUACGGUUCUUACUCGAGCUAUCUUCACGGAAGGUUGUAAAUCGGUUGCUGCUGGAAUGAAUGCAAUGGACCUAAGGCGUGGAAUCAAAUUGGCUGUUGAUACUGUCGUCACGAACUUGAAGAGCCGAGCACGCAUGAUUAGCACUUCUGAGGAAAUCGCUCAAGUUGGGACAAUAUCAGCUAAUGGAGAUAGAGAAAUUGGUGAACUGAUUGCAAAGGC